rnacentral:misc_RNA from 1 species
GUUUUUGAAAUGCUUGCUUUGUGGGACCUCUGCACUUAAGUAGAUUAGCUGCUGUAUGCAGUCACUGCCCCUAAGAAUAAACUAUUAAUCAUGGUUUCAUAAUUCUUGGAUGUGGCCUUGCCUAAUCCUUCAUGAGUAUUUUUCAGAAGAUGAGUGUUGCAGCUUCAAUUCAAAUCUAUAGAGAGCACUGUUUAUGAAGCUUACUGUUAGUCCUGUAAAUUUAUAUUAGCCAAUGAAAGGGUAGUGGUGGCAGAUUGCAAUUCAAAU